AAAACAAGAUCUGAAAGCAACUUUACAUUAGGUUUAAUUAUACAAAUAGUAGGCAUUAUUAAAUGAAAACUCCAGUCAUUUUUCUCAUCAAAUACAUUUUCUGAUAUCAUUAAUUUCUCAGGGAGAUAUUUAGAUUACAUACUCUGAAAUUCAAACUUCUGUCAAUGUGAAGGUGCGUGAACAUCUUCUCAUAGGUGUUCUGGUAACCCCAGCAAUUUAGUUGCAUACUUAUAUAGGAUCUCUUUAAAUGAGGGAGUAUAAAUGAGGUAGAAUCAAGUGAUCUAUAGCAAAGUUAUAUGUUUGCUGCAGAUUAAUUUUUCCUAUUUACCAAUUUGAAAAGACAAAAAAAAAAAAAGAGCAGAGAUAAUUUAAAACAAUUAUUUGCACCAACAAGCAGCUAGCAUAAAUCUUUAGCAAAGCCAGCCAGGAGCAGGAAAAUCAAUUUAUCCAAAUAUGUGGGCAGAUUUUUGUGAUAAAAAAGGUAAACCCAAUACAAGCAUUUCAACAGUAGAUUUUUCCUAAGAACGAUUUGGCUACUGCUCACUGUCUCUAAAGAGAAGUAACACAAGGUACCAUGAUGCAAGUACACAGCAAUACACAGAAGUAAAACUGUAAAUCUUUCUAUAUUCUCAGUCAGGUCAGUGGGACUGCAAAUAGGCAAGCCCCUUCUAUCACUUCAGUCACAGUAAAGCUCUGUAAGUGCAUAGGGCUCUGCUCUGGUGAGACCAGUCUAGCUGUGUUAUCACUAAACCUCUUCAAGACUGAAAUGCAGCUUCUGUUUGGGGUUAUUUCAUGGAAAGGGAUUUGAUGAAGACAAGAAAUAUGCUACUGGGGGACAAUCCAUGAAUUUACAGUCUCCUACGUCCAUUAGGGAGGGGAACAGAGGGAAUCUAUAAUCACACUCCAAAAAAAACCACAGUCUUUACUUCCCUUUGUCUAGUACCUCCCACACAGCAGGUUCUCUGUGCUUUGUGAACAUUUCAGCUUAGGGAAUGUCUACUUUCAGGGGCAGUCAGUGGGCUUUUUUUUUUUUUUUAUCAUGGUUACAUAUGGCUGAUGUGGACAUACACAUCAUAAACACUUCUCUUGUUUAUCAGGAAAGUAAGAUUUACAUUAUAAAUUGUGUAGGAACAGG
rnacentral:lncRNA from 1 species